rnacentral:rRNA from 1 species
UACGUAGGGGGCGAGCGUUGUCCGGAAUCAUUGGGCGUAAAGAGCGUGUAGGCGGUCCGGUAAGUCGGUUGUGAAAGUCCAGGGCUCAACCCUGGGAUGCCGACCGAUACUGUCGGACUAGAGUUCGGAAGAGGCGAGUGGAAUUCUCGGUGUAGCGGUGAAAUGCGUAGAUAUCGAGAGGAACACCUGCGGCGAAGGCGGGUUGCUGGGCUGACACUGACGCUGAGGCGCGAAAGCUAGGGGAGCGAACGGG